rnacentral:lncRNA from 10 species
GGCCAGAUAAGAGAAUAAAAGCAGGCUGCCCGAGCCAGCAUUGACAACUCGCGGGGAUUGUUUUCCACACCGUGGAAGCUUUGUUCUUUUCGUUUUUUGCAAUAAAUCUUGUUGCUGCUCGCUUUUUGGGUCCACAUUGCUUUUAUGAGCUGUACCACUCACCGUGAAGAUCUGCAGCUUCACUUCAGAGCCUAGCGAGACCACAAGCUCACUGAGAGGAACAAACAACUCCAGACGCGCUGUCUUAAGAGCUAUAACACUCACCGCGAAGGUGUGCAGUUUCACUCCUGAGCUAGUGAGACUACGAAGCCACUGGAACGAAGAAACUCCAACCACGUUUGAACAUCAGAAGGGGCAGACUCCAGACGCUUCAUCUUAAGAGCUGUAACACUCACUGUGAAGGUCUGCAGCUUCACUCCUGAGCCAGCGAGACCACGAACCGAUCUGAACAUCAGAAGGGACAGACUCCAGAUGCCCCACCUUAAGAGCUGUAAUACUCACUGCAAGGGUCUGCAGCUUCAUUCUUGAAGUCAGACCAAGAACCCAGCAAUUCCCAACACACAGGGACCAGCUUCUUUCCUAACUCACUUAGGCUCUUCGUGCUGCUCUGGCAACUAACACCCUUGGCUGCAGGGGCUUGGACACUACCCUUAGUCACUGACAAUUGUGUGAAGGCUGCUGUCGUUAACUUCACUUGAUCACCUUAGGCUCCUGUGAAGUGGUGAGCAAUUCAAACAAAUUCCUGUCGUCAAAUCAUGAGUCCACCUGUCCCGAGUUGGAAGUCUGAACUCAUGUUCCUGGAUUCCUCCCAUGCAUCUUGGUGCUGGUGUGGGGCCUGAACUCAGCCAAUCCGCAACACCUCCAGGAGUCUUCCUCUUAGAUGCUGAGGCCACGGAGAAGGAAGCAGCACAAAGAAUGAACCCUGGAGAGGGUGCCAGAGGCAGGCGGGUUCCAGCCAUGUGGCGGCACAGCCUUACUGGGAUAGUCUAGCUGUGUCACUCAGAAUCCUGAUUUUGUUUGGAAGGACAGCGUGCCUGGUUCCAGGAUAUACAUCUUUCCACACCAAUAGACCUUGUUUUCCGAUGUAGCAUUAUUUUUCAUAGUUGGCGAAUAUACAGUUAUGGAUUCAUAACAGCAAGAUGGAGAAAUUGCACUGCAGAGAAAUCUUUAAAAGCAAUUACCUAAUACUGCAGAUUGCUGAACUGUACCCACACCCAAGACUGAGCAUUGGAUCAAUCCAGAAUAUACAUCAGGUGUUCUGCAAUGUCUGCCUAAAACCAUGACUCUGCCUCCUCCAGCUGUUGCUACAUCUCACUAUGGGUUUCCUGUGACAUUUUGAGCAAGUAUGCCUCUGUGACUGGGGUUCUUACACUCCAGAAUGGAUGAGAAGCACCGUAAGUGGCUUUUAAAAUGAAUAUUCCCUGGCCCUUCAGUCGCUCUAUAGGUCAAGAAUCUGAAUUCUCAACCUGUCUAGAAGGUUCUGGUUUUAAUGGUCUGUGGGCUGCACAUUGAGAAACCUGUUCAGCGAGUGCAACAAAGGUUCCACAUGUGAGAAAGGAAGCAUCAGGUCUCUUGAGCCUGUUCUUUAAUCUGUAGGCUGCACCUUCUCUUUAAAUUCUGCUAAUAACACCAUGCGAGAAAACACCCGAGCUUGAAAAGCCCAUGUUCCAACAUAACUGUCCUUCACCACUCUGGAAAAUUAAUGGUUUGUUUCGAUUAUCCCUUUGUUAAACUCCAAAGUCAAAGAGCUCUGAAAGGCAUACGGUUAUUUUAAGUUUCAGGUGAUUUCUGUUGCCAAAUAUUUUAAAAAUUUAAAAUUGCUACGUGACCUCUUAGUAGUACUAUUAGAUUUCCUGACAAUAAAAAUAAGUCUUUUGGUUUCACCAUUUAUAGUUAGUACAGCUAAUAUUAAGUAUAAUUUUAAAAGCCUUUUAUUUUCUCAGAAAGAAAAAAUAAUCAAAAUCUGCUCAGUGUGGUAUUGAAUAAUUAAAAACAAAAGAACAGUAUCUUCACAUUAGUGUUUAAUAUUAAUUGCUUUUUUACCCUUGACACUGGUGCUAAUUAAAUUUUCAUUUUAUUUUCCAUGACUUGUUUAAACAGUUUUUGCAAAUUAUUGCUAAUCAGCCUAAUAAAACUGAAUCACCUAUUAAACAAUUUUGUUUUGAAUUAAAUGGCAUUAAAAUAAUUCUGGCUGCCUUGUGUUAUAAUGUGUUACAAGAAUACCAACCGCUACAGGUAAUAUGCCUUAGCUUUUACACAUGCUUUAAAUAAAUCUACGGAUGUAUUUACCUACAUGCACAAACAUGCAAAGAGGCAGUGUUGGUUAGUUGAAUGGGUUUCCGGCUGGAUUUAUUUCCCGUCUACUGUCUUCUCAAGAGGAAAUCUAAGGCAAAUCUCUUCAACAACCUGAAACUUGGUUUUCAUCAUCAGCAAAAUAAGG